GCUGGGUGUAGUGGCGCACACCUGUAAUCCCAGCUACUUGGGAGGCUGAGGCAGAAGAAUCACUUGAACCUGGGAGGCAGAGGUUGCAGUGAGCCGAGAUGGCACCACUGCACUCCAGCCUGGGUGACAGAGUGAGACCCUGUCUCAA
rnacentral:SRP_RNA from 2 species